UACGGAGGGGGCUAGCGUUGUUCGGAAUUACUGGGCGUAAAGCGUGUGUAGGCCGUCCACUAAGUCGGGUGUGAAAGCCCUGGGCUCAACCCAGGAAGUGCACUCGAAACUGGCGGGCUAGAGUAUCGGAGAGGUUGGUGGAAUUCUCGGGUGUAGAGGUGAAAUUCGUAGAUAUCGAGAGGAACACCGGUGGCGAAGGCGGCCGAACUGGACGGAAUACUGACGCUGAGACACGAAAGCGUGGGGAGCAAACAGG
rnacentral:rRNA from 1 species